GACGAACGCUGGCGGCGUGCUUAACACAUGCGAGUCGAACGGAAAGGCCCUGCUUUUGUGGGGUGCUCGAGUGGCGAACGGGUGAGUAACACGUGAGUAACCUGCCCUUGACUUUGGGAUAACUUCAGGAAACUGGGGCUAAUACCGGAUAGGAGCUCCUGCUGCAUGGUGGGGGUUGGAAAGUUUCGGCGGUUGGGGAUGGACUCGCGGCUUAUCAGCUUGUUGGUGGGGUAGUGGCUUACCAAGGCUUUAACGGGUAGCCGGCCUGAGAGGGUGACCGGCCACAUUGGGACUGAGAUACGGCCCAGACUCCUACGGGAGGCAGCAGUGGGGAAUAUUGCACAAUGGGCGGAAGCCUGAUGCAGCAACGCCGCGUGCGGGAUGACGGCCUUCGGGUUGUAAACCGCUUUCGCCUGUGACGAAGCGUGAGUGACGGUAAUGGGUAAAGAAGCACCGGCUAACUACGUG
rnacentral:rRNA from 1 species